AAUCAACGCUGGCGGCGUGCCUCAGACAUGCAAGUCGAACGCGAAAGUCUCCUUCGGGGGACAAGUAGAGUGGCGCACGGGUGAGUAACACGUAGGUAAUCUACCUUCGGAUGGGGAAUAACAAUCGGAAACGGUUGCUAAUACCGCAUAAUGCAGCGGCACCUAAUGGUGACAGUUGUUAAAGCGGGGGAUCGCAAGACCUCGCGUCUGAAGAGGAGCCUGCGGCGGAUUAGCUAGUUGGUAAGGUAACGGCUUACCAAGGCGACGAUCCGUAGCCGGCCUGAGAGGGCGGUCGGCCACACUGACACUGACAUACGGGUCAGACUCCUACGGGAGGCAGCAGUCGGGAAUUUUGGGCAAUGGGCGAAAGCCUGACCCAGCAACGCCGCGUGAAGGAUGAAAUCCCUCGGGAUGUAAACUUCGCAAGAACGGGAAGAAUAAGUCUGCGUGAAUAUCACAGGCGAUGACGGUACCGUUUGUAAGCUCCGGCUAACUCCGUGCCAGCAGCCGCGGUAAUACGGGGGGAGCAAGCGUUGUUCGGAUUUACUGGGCGUAAAGGGCGCGUAAGCGGCCAGCGCAAGUCAGUUGUGAAAUCUCCGGGCUUAACUCGGAAAGGUCAACUGAUACUGCGCGGCUAGAGUGC
rnacentral:rRNA from 1 species